UGGUGGGGAACUAUAAGAUAAAGUAGGCUGGAAGUGCAAUCUCAGACCGGGGUAUGAACCCCUCUACCAG
rnacentral:tRNA from 1 species